AUAUCUCUCUGUACGGGAAGGAUGAGAAGCUUCGACUAAGGUUCGAUUCGAGCGCAGCGAGAAAGCGUUGCCGCAGGCAACGACCCGAAGGGCGAAGCGCGCAGCGCUG
rnacentral:sRNA from 3 species